CAACAUCUGAGGUGCCAAAGGUUGCCUACCCAUCAUCUAGUACAGGGGUUCCCAACCCAGUCCUCAAGUACCCCCUAACAGUCCAGGAUUUAGGGAUUACCAUGUUUUUGGUUUUUUUCUUUCUAAAAACACCUUAGACACAGCUGGGUAAUCCAUAAAUACUUGAGGGAUACUUGAGGACUGGGUUGGGAACCACUGAUCUGGUAGAAUACACAAAAAAUACAUUUUGUCUCAACAAAUUUCACCUUUAGGUAAUUGAAUAAAAAAUGUGUCCCAACUGCUGAACUGGAGUGUCACAUAAUCCUUUCUUCUUUCUCUUGCCAAAUAUUUACUCAUAAAUAGCUAGGCUAAAAGGUUCCACUUAUUUUAACAGGUUUAUCAUUUUAAUUUAAAAAGCCCCAA